rnacentral:rRNA from 1 species
UACGGGGGGAGCAAGCGUUGUUCGGAUUUACUGGGCGUAAAGGGCGCGUAGGCGGCCAGCGCAAGUCAGUUGUGAAAUCUCCGGGCUUAACUCGGAAAGGUCAACUGAUACUGCGCGGCUAGAGUGCAGAAGGGGCAACUGGAAUUCUCGGUGUAGCGGUGAAAUGCGUAGAUAAUCGGGAGGAACACCCGUAGCGAAGGCGGCACUCUGGGCCGAUACUGACGCUGAGGAGCGAAAGCGUGGGGAGCAAACAGG